UAAGUGUAAUUUUGAGCCAAUUAGUUAGUUUAUAAUCCAUAUCCAAGUAUAUAGUUACAAGUGUGAGUUAGUAGAUAUCUUAGUGGGUGUUAGGGUGUUCGGGGAUCAUAACUAGCUCAGAAACAUUAAAAGAAUGUUUCUAGUAUAAUUUUGGUGUUCCGGGUAAUGUCCGGUUGUUCGGUUUGAUACUGUUCCAUUAAAGUGCUUAAUUAUUCCGUAAAGUGUCUUUUAUAUACAUUUUGUGUCACAAUUAAUUCCCGGCACUUAGGAAAGCAUACAGGACCAUUCUGCCAUAUUUUGGCACCUUACUAGCAUAUUAAAUGCUGAAUUUUUGCUGAAAAUGCAGAAUUCUGCAUUUAAAGUGUGUUUUAGGCACUUCCCGGCACUUUAACUAUCACCUAGUGACGCAGUUUUAUGGUCCUCACUUCCCUACACUCCCUACUAGUGUAGUAUUCUAUCUCUGGCUCAUACUGGCCUCAAAAACAUUGUCUAUCUAAGUGUUGGUAUUGUCAGCAUGUAUCUGGGUUAUCCGCUCGCUGUGCUAACUGUGCUUUGUGCAUCAAGUUUGUCACUAAAGAAAUCAGAAAGCAGUUUAAAUCAACAGUUGUAAUUAAGCACAGUCAUUAAGCAUAAAUCAAUAUUAAUUAAACGUACGGAUGCUUGCAAAUUUGACAGUUGUCACACAAACACUUUUCCUAGUGAUCAUUAGUCGUGCUUAGGACUAUUGUAAGUGUACUUAACCUUUAUUAAUUAAGUUUUGCUUAGUUUAUUAGCUUAAAGUCAAACCGUCGUAAUUAAGAUUUGACUUCGUCAUUAAUCUUAAUUUCUCAAGUCAAAUUUCAAAUUGAAAGUACCUAUGAGUUGGUAAUUAUGUGGGCAAUAAACCCUUAAAAGGGCACCCUCUGAUUCCCACUCUAACUAGGUCAAUUGUCGAGUCAAAGUUAAUCUUAAAAAGUCAACAGAAAGCUUAUUUUCAAAUUAAUGCAUAAUUAGCAAUGUAGAAGCUAUGCAACCUGUUUUGUCAUUAAUAUAACUUGGUAAUUAAUGUAAGAACAUGUCUAAACAUGUUCAACUCGACAAUUUUCAGUUUAAGCUCGGUUCGGAACCGAAAGUCGCAAAAGUUUGACUUUCAGUUCUGACCUAUUAGAGCAUAGUUUAGAAAUGCCUUAGAGCUUAUUUAGGACCAUGUUUCAUAUAAGUAUAACCCUUUGUGAUUAUAUGACAUGGUUCAUUAGUUAUCCGAUUCAUAUGCAUAUUUCCGUUAAAUGCCUAAAUGUUGACUAUUAUGCCCAUAUGACCUUAAAACAUGAAUUUUGAAAAUGUAAAAGAGUAGAAACCUUAGCUACUGAUUUAUAAACUUGUACCUAAAAUUUGAAAUCAGUUUGAGGUCUAGAUUAAGAAUUAUGCUCAUUAGCGUAAUUAGAAAGCUUUUUGAUAAUUAAUCGGCGUAAUUAGCAUAUAGCCUAUCUAAACCCGAUUUUUGAUACCAAACUUUAUACCUCUUAAUAUAAAAUAAUAUUUUAGGAUUUUUGGAGACUUUUAUUUAUUUUUAGACUGAGCAUAACAUAGAGUUCUAAGCUUAAUUCGGAAAUUGUCGGUUUUGCCCUUUUAGGCUAUAAAAUGAGUUUUACCAAUCCUUUUGAUACCAAACCUUUUUCUACUGAUCCAAUAUGACAAAUAGAAUAUUUUAAGCCUUCUGGAAUAAUAAAAAUAUCAACUUUUCUUAUAAAACCCAAAAAUCGCUUAAUAUCAGAUUUAUAUUUAAACUCUUUUAUAACCUUCUAAAUGACCAAAAUGCCCUUGCGGGGCAUAAUUUGAGUUUAAAUCCGUUUUGGGCAUAAUAGAAGAUAUCUUACUGAUGUCACAACAUAUUUAAGGCAUAUUAACUUAGGAAACUUGUAUAUGACUCUUAUGGUUACUCGUUACACACUUUUCGCGUUCGGAUCGACUUAUGUAACUAGUUUGCAUAUAUUAGCCGAAACGGGUCAAACCAUAUCAUUUUUGUCUCAAAAUCCAGAAUGUGUUUAAGUUAACCAUAUUAAACAAGUAAACAAGCUUGUCGGGUCAAAACCACAUUCUAAACCGGUCUUCGCUUUAUCAUGUGUUGAACCGUAUCUUCCUUUUGAAAACUAACCGGUCUAAGUCUAGGCUUAGUUAAAGACCCAUUAGGAUUCUAAUAGGUUAUUAAAAACCUUCGUUCCAGAUUAGGAGCUUAGUAAAAGCUACAUGCACUUGCUGUAUUUGAUUUACACUUUGCUCAGGUAAAUACUCUUAACUUAUUUUCCCUAUACGGGCUUGGGAUACGGUACUAUAAAAGUACCGCUUGGUCGGGUGUGUAGUUAUUUAUAUCAGAUUGUGAUUUAUGUAUUUACAUGACCCGUUUAAUAUGUAUUAUUUGGUGUAUGGCCUUUGGGGGUUAAAUGACUAUGUCCCGGAGAUAUCCUUGGCAUCAUUCAAAGAAAUGGCCAUGACCUAAGCACGGGGUGUAGGUGUACACCUGACAGCUGCAUAUGUAAAAACUGGUAGCCACUUAAAGGAAUCAGCCUUGUGGGUAUUAUACCUGUGGCGUGUCAGUUAAUCUAGACCGGCCCUACAAACCGGCCCUGAUGGACGAUAAAUAAGUAAAACUGUAUACAAGAUUGUUUUUAAUUGUCCCAAGUUAUUGAAGAUAUUUUUGCCUAAGGGCAUUCAAACAAAUUUUCAAACUCUUUUCAAAAUGAGUCAGUUAAGUUGUAUUUACCAGUGUAAACUAACGUAUUUUCCAAAAGGCUAAGUGCAGGUACUAUACGUAAUAGGUUGGCUACUCCAGGCAUCAAUAAUCAAGUCUCGUAAGCUCUAGAUGUCAAAGUCUGUUGAACAGUUUUUCUUUUUUUUUUGAUCCGCCUGUGGAUCUAUUUCAACUAUCUUGUGAUACUUAAUAUUACAAUUUUAUUCAGUUGAAAUGAAUCUAUCUUUUGCUUCUGUUGUGCAUUUAAAUUUGUGUUGUUUGACUAUGAUUAUAUCAACUACGUCACGAUACUCCCCACUGGGCCCACCGGUAAUACGUGGAAAUAUCAGGGUGUGACAGGUUGGUAUCAGAGCCAACACUGAGUGAAUUAAACACUAGCCUUUUGUGUUUAAUCUCAGUUACACAGUUGCACAUUCUCGAGUCUAGACAAAGAACAUAGGAUUAAUCCUAAUUCGUUUUAUUUUGUCCUUGAUUUGUUUCUUUUGUUAUUUUUCUGAUUAGCCCCUGCAUGGGCAAGUCAUUUAAGUUAGAAGUCCCGUUUAGGGCAACCAUAUACUUGUUUAAACUUUAAUGGAACGGUUAGAUUUAAAAUAACAUUCCUAUUUAAGAUCUACCAUUAUAAUAAAAUGGCAA
rnacentral:lncRNA from 1 species